rnacentral:rRNA from 1 species
GUAGGGUGCGAGCGUUAUCCGGAAUCAUUGGGCGUAAAGAGCUCGUAGGCGGUUCAGCAAGUCGGCUGUGAAAGUCCGAGGCUCAACCUCGGAACUGCAGUCGAUACUGCUGUGACUCGAGUCCGGUAGAGGAGAAUGGAAUUCAGGGUGUAGCGGUGAAAUGCGCAGAUAUCCUGAGGAACACCAGUAGCGAAGGCGGUUCUCUGGGCCGGUACUGACGCUGAGGAGCGAAAGCGUGGGUAGCAAACAGGAUUAGAUACCCUGGUAGUCCCACGCCGUAAACGUUGGACACUAGGUGUGGCGUUCCGACCAACGGGUGCCGUGCCGAAGCUAACGCAUUAAGUGUCCCCGCCUGGGAGUACGGCCGCAGGCUA